rnacentral:rRNA from 1 species
UUUAUAUGAGAGUUUGAUCCUGGCUCAGGAUGAACGCUGGCGGCGUGCCUAAUACAUGCAAGUCGAACGAGUUCUCGUUGAUGAUCGGCGCUUGCACCGAGAUUCAACAUGGAACGAGUGGCGGACGGGUGAGUAACACGUGGGUAACCUGCCCUUAAGUGGGGGAUAACAUUUGGAAACAGAUGCUAAUACCGCAUAGAUCCAAGAACCGCAUGGUUCUUGGCUGAAAAG